CACUGACAUUAGAUACCCGCGUAGUCCCAGCCGUAAACUAUGCGCGUUAGGUGUAUCGGUGACCACGAGUUACCGAGGUGCCGAAGGGAAACCGUGAAACGUGCCGCCUGGGAAGUACGGUCGCAAGGCUGAAACUUAAAGGAAUUGGCGGGGAGCACCACAACGGGUGGAGCCUGCGGUUUAAUUGGACUCAACGCCGGGAAGCUCACCGGAUAAGACAGCGGAAUGAUUGCCGGGCUGAAGACUCUGCAUGACUAGCUG
rnacentral:rRNA from 1 species